rnacentral:rRNA from 1 species
CUUAAAACGAGAGUUUGAUCCUGGCUCAGGACGAACGCUGGCGGUAUGCCUAAUACAUGCAAGUCGAACGAUGAAAUUCUCUGCUUGCAGAGAAUGGAUUAGUGGCGAACGGGUGAGUAACACGUGGGUAACCUGCCCAUAAGAGGGGGAUAACAUUCGGAAACGGAUGCUAAUACCGCAU